rnacentral:rRNA from 1 species
AUUGAACGCUGGCGGCAUGCCUAACACAUGCAAGUCGAGCGGAUGAAGGGAGCUUUCUCCUGGAUUCAGCGUCGGACGGGGGAGUAAUACCUAUGAAUCUGCCUCGUAGGGGGUGGUAACGUCCUGAAACGGGCGCUAAUACCGCAUGCGUCCUGAUGGAGAAGGUGGGGGGUCUUCGGACCUCACGCUAGCAGAUGGGCCUAGGUGGGGGUAGCUAGUUGGUCGGGUAAGGGCCUACCAAGGCGACGAUUCGUAACUGGUCUGAGUGGCUGAUAAGUCACAUUAGAACGUAGACACGGACAUGAGUACUACGGGAGGCAGCAGUGGGGAAUGUUGAACAGUGGGGGAAAGUAUGAUACAGUGAUGGCGAGUGUGAGAAGACGGUCUCCGGAUUGUAAAGAAGUUUAAGGUGGGAGGAAGGGCAGUAAGUUAAUACCUUGCUGUUUUGACGGUAAUAACAGAAUAAGCACCGGCUAACUUCGUG